ensembl:snoRNA
CCUCCGGUGAUGAUGGAUAUCGGUGACUUUCGUUCUUCUGAGCUCGCUGAAGCCACAUGCGAAAAUCUGAGGAGG